ACAACUGUUAGGAGAGAAAACUUUCGCGAGCAAAUCCGUGCGCAGUAUAAUCUUAUGAACUGUUUUCGGUGGAAAACAAGAGUAACAUUUCUGAUGAUUCAAUACUUAUGAAGAGCCCGACUUUGGCUUUUUCAAUUAGGCUUUUAUUUGCAUAUGUUCGAUUUCGUUCUAAUUGCAGUUCCAAACUGUCAGAAGUUUGAAGAAAUAUAAAAACGGAUGCCAGAAUUCAACAGAUGUUUCCAUUCGGAAAAGAAAACAAAAUAUAUUACUCUCAUGCCAUACAGUUUUCUAUCAAUAUAGAUUCCUGGAGACAGGAGUAAUGAAGUGUGACAACAACAAGCACUAAGACCGAGGUGAAAAAUAUUAGAUAUAUUUUCAGAUAAGAAUUUAACCACAGCAAAGGAUAAUAAGUGAAUUCCUUCUUAAUGAAGCGAUAAGAGGAGAAUUCUUGCAGUUAAGUAUUUUUGGAUCAAGACGAGAGAUUUAAGAAAACAACUACAAUCGGAGAGUUUUAAAUAGAAUCAAAACAUGUAUUCGUUAAAAGUUGCACUAAAAAACACUUGUAAAUCGCACCGUCAUAGGCACCAAGAAAAGUACAGCAACUCUUGCUUUUAGCACUACUUGGCAUUGAUGAUAUUUAAUACGUUUUAACCGAGUAGGGAUAAUAGGCUGGAUAUUUUAAUCAGAAAAACUGGCUACGGAUGCGCGAAUUAUCAGGUGAAUGUGGUAGGAUGACAGAAGUUUGCAAUCUACACUUUAUUUGAGUUGGUAACCUUCCAAUUUCAGGAUGAAAAAGUAAUAUUAGGUGACUGUUAAGAGCAGACUAUCAGUAAAAUAUUCUAAACACAAGGAAUUUAUAGCAAACAGUAAAUAUUUUGUUGGGGUGCUAUAACAGAUAAUCAACUGAAGCAAGCUAUCUUCAUUAGUAAUCUGUUCUGAACACGAGUUAAUAAAAUAUUGUGUAAUCUAAAUAAAUAUAAAAAUGUAAUGAUGAAGUUAUAUAGAUGGCUUUCAUUUACUAAUUUUUAAAUGAAUUUCAGUGAAUGAAAUUUUAACUAAAAUAUACUUACAGAAUAUAUAGCUUGGCCCAGAUGUAUAUCACUCGUACUUUUCCUCGAGCUUUAAAAUGUGCUUUGCUCUGAGUACAAUUUGUUCUUUUCUUACUAAUUUUAAAAACUGUAAUGCAAUUUCAUUGUUGCUUCUCAGUUUUUGCAGCAUGAAAAUAAAACUCCUUUUAUCAA